GCCGGGCGUGGUGGCGGGCGCCUGUAGUCCCAGCUACUCGGAGGCUGAGGCAGGAGAAUGGCGUGAACCUGGGAGGCGGAGCUUGCAGUGAGCCGAGAUCGCGCCACUGCACUCCAGCCUGGGUGACACAGCGCGAGACUCCGUCUCAAAAAAAAAAAAAAAAGUCAUAUAACUUGUUGAAAAUAAACAGAUACCAGACGGAGUCUCGCUUUGUUGUUCAGGUGCAGUGGUGUGAUCUCGGCUCACUGCAACCUCUGCCUCCUGGGUUCAAGCGUUUCUCCUGCCUCAG
rnacentral:SRP_RNA from 1 species